rnacentral:lncRNA from 1 species
CGUAACUUUCUAUCCAGGCGUAUAAGCCAACAUCGACAAGUGCGUACAUUUUUUAAAUCAAUAUUUUUGGAAUGUUCCAGUCUGUCCUUUACUAUUGACAAAUUACAUUUUCCCAAAUUAGCCCUCGGAAAAAAUAUGUAUAUAGAUUUUUAUUUCUUCAAAUCUUUUUUUUUUUUUGUGGUAUUUUUUAUAUUUUCAUAAAUAAUAUUCUUUACACCAGAAAUGUUAUUUAUAAACAAGCGUACGAGUUAAGUUAUUGGCAUCAUAUCACUUUCGGACACACAAGACAGAGAUGUGUAUUAUACACCUGAUAGUUCAAAAUGGAAAGUUAUUAGUCUGCCGUGUACACUGAUCAAUACCUACAGAAGUGAAACGAUGCAUGAACUUGCAAGCCCGACAGGAAAUCGCUUGAAUACCUGGACGUGUCACCUGAGUCCUCACACCCCUCACAAUACCUUUGGGAGUAAUACCUUUAGCCAUGCUAGUGAUCAGAUGAGGAAAGAUCCGAAUUUAUUUGAAUAAAGUUUAUUACUUUAAAGAAUUAUGAAAACAAUUUUCACGGAACAC